GGUCAAUGCUCGCAUAUGUAUAUAUAUCUUUGCUGCAAAAAGAGCUGGAUAUUUUUAAAAACACAGUCUGUAACAACCAUAGAGGACGAAAGCAAAGAAACAAGCAUCUGCCUGAUGGAAUUCCAGAACUGACAUUUUCCAGUUUCCUGAGCAUUACGGAGGCACCAAGUAUGAAACACAUCUAAGUGAUGAAGAUUUAGAAGAAGUUGCAGAGGUUUCAAGUAUUCUUGAAGAUACCAACGACUAUUUAGAGCCCCAAUUCCAUACAGAGUGUGAAAGGGUAUUUCCUCAAGCAAAGGAGGUUCUUCCAAGUGAAGCUUUACUUGCAUUUCGCUUUCUGAAGCAGAAUUUUGAUAGAACAGUAAUUGAUCAUGAAUAAAUAUUCGCCGAAUAACUCUAAACAGCCAGAUAUGAA